GCUCCGGGCCCGGCGACGGCUCGUUCCUUUUGGUCCGAACACGCCAGCUGUCUCCAUCCCUGGGCAGUCACAGGCUUGCACGAGGAGUUUCGGGAGUUAAACGAGAAAUUGCUCGUGACAGGCGUGAGGGACGGCCGAAGGCUCGCCCUCGAGGCCAGCUCAGCAGACGGGUGGAUUCCGACUCCACAGCUCCAAAGAAGACACACUGAACCUCUGCCCUCGAGGAUUUCACAGGAGGUGGACACGCGGCCCCAUGGCAGGACCCCUGAUGCUCCACAGUGAUCGGGAAUGGGCUCCCGGCCCUUCAGAGUGAGUAGGGGGGCUGCCAGCCGGGUGGCGACAAACACCUCUUUUGCCAGCUUGUUUGUGUUUUCAAAGCUGGCUUGUUCAGAUGAAUUCCGGGCGCCGGUGCGAUGGUUCCGUAAAAGAAAAGAAGCACGAUCUUUUACUGUGGGGCUUCCCCUCCUGUGGUCUCAUGGACGCCCCCCUCCUAUUCCCAGUAGCCUUGGAAUUGGUCACUAAGCCGACAGACCCCUUCGAGUGCCGUAAAAGUCAUGGCAUCACCAUGCACUUCAUUUUCAGCAUGUUUCUGACAGCACUGAGACAGUGUGACGUUUCCCAUAUGCAUGACUUAUGCCACUUCUACAUCCGGAAAGGAAUGGAGGCCGACCCCCAUUAGGAAUCUGUUAUACAUUAGGAGAGGUGAGAGGCAAAAGUCAGUGAUUUGAUUUAUAUAAAAUUAGGAAAGUCAGACAUAAUACCAGGAUCUCUUUUUCUAUAUGUAAUGGGUGCCUAAAAUGAUUUUUAAAAUAAAAAACAUAUGUGAAUUUAUGUGCCUUCAUUAUAAUUCAGGAAUUUUGCUCGCUCAGAAAACGUACUGCAUUUAACAUAUUGUUAAACGCGUAAUAACGACUGCAAUUUUUGCUUUAACAAAAGGCUUAAUUUUAGAAUAGUUUUAGAUUUAUAGAAAAAUCAUCAGUAUAGCAUUCCAGUGCACCCUACACCUAGUUUCCCUAUCAUCUUAGGUUAGUGGGGUGCAUUUGUCUCAAUUAAUGAGCCAGUAUUGAUAGGUUUUUUUUAUAGCUACAGCCCAUACUUUAUUCAGAUUUUCUUUUUUAUCUAAUAUGCUUUUUCUGUCCUAGGAUUCCGUCCAGGAAUACACUUAGUCAUUGUCUCCUUAGUGCCCCUUAGCUGUGACAGUUUCUCAUACUUUGCUUUUAAUGGAUGACCUUGACAAUUUUGAGGAGUAUGACUGAGGCAUUUUAUAGAAUGUACCUCAGUUAGAUUUUUCUGGUGUUUUCCUCAUGAUUAGGCUGGGGUUUGGGUUUGACCCUAGGGGUGAAAUGUCCUCAUCAGAUCACGUCAAAGUACAUACCACCAGCGUGACCUCACUGUUGACGUUCAUGUUGACCAGGUGACUGAUCUGGUCUUGAGGGUUCCCCACUGUAAAGAUACCCUUUCCCGCUUUUUUCAUACUGUGUUUUCUGGAAGUCACUGUGCAGUUUAUGCUCUCCGGGGGGCAGAGAAUCCACGUUAAUUAUUUGGAAUUAUUCUGCAUGACACAUUUGCUCAUUCUCCCCUAUUACAUAUGCGAUCAUCGAUUUAUCCGUAUUUACUCAUGGUUAUUUGUUUUAUACUUCGGUUUAUAAUCCACUGGCGUGUUAUAUGUUUUGUCGCUGGAAUUGUUCCAGCUUUGGCCAUUGGGAGAUCAUUCAGGUUGGGUCCAUGUCUCUUUCCUUUCCCCGUGUGUCUGUGUGUAUGUGAUUCCCCAGCCUGGAAUCAGCCACUUCUCCAGGGAGCCCUUUUAUUGGACAAUGGUGUUAGAGACCAGGACCCGACAUUAGGUGUGCUCUUUGCUGAUACUGGUGUGUAUCACCUUUUUAAAAUACAGCCUGGAAAGUCAUGGUGGUCACUUCCUCUGUAAUCACAGGCCCACUCAGGACAGAGGGGAGAGGACACAGACUCCUCCACCUCUAGGUGGAGAUCCGUCAAUGUCACAUGUGAGGACUUAUGAGAUGGGAUAUCUUGGUGUCAUUAUCUUUGGAAAAUACCAUCUGUCACAUCAGAGACACUGUUGUGCACCAAGGGUUCUUAUGUCACUCAAACGUCCUUGUCCCUGUUUCUGGGUUGUUUCAGAGAAACUCUCUCCCUAGCUUGGUUUUUCUUGAGGAUGAUCGCAGUUGACACAUUAGCACUGAGUCACUUUGUGAGAGUCAUCGCCUUCUGAGUUCUCACCUGGGGGCAGAGUGUCUUCAACACAUUUAUAACACUUGAUCAUUUCUUUCCCUUUUUAAUGUUCCGGCCAGAGGUUCUUACAGCACAGCCUUCUGGAUAGACUCUGAUCAUGUUGUCUUACUGCUGCAUUUACCUGGGCGGUUACCCUCUGAGCAGAGACGUCUGCUGCUGACCAGAGUGCACGUGCUCCCCCACAGUCCCCAGUCCCCUUGCACGUAGGCAGGGCCAUGUGACUGUGUGUGGAAGAUUACCAGUCCAUGAGUGGCCCUCUCACCCCUCAUCUCCUAUUGUGACAGUAUUGCCUCCCUCUGCCUGGAACUUGGUGACGGAGGGAAGCGUGCCCUGUGCCAACACACAUCAUAUGUGCAACAUUCGUCCGUCAGACCUUUGAACUCCCAGGAUCAACUCUUACUGGGUUUUCAUUUACAUAACGAUGCAAAAUUUACCAAAAAACGUGAGUUGGUUCAAAGAAAAACAGGUGAAGAAUUCGCUAAGUGAUACCCAGUCAUCCUUAGGGCGUGGACACAAAUGAUGAACGUUUGGGGAAAUUACGGCUACUGUGUUCUCAUCUCAUUCUCUGCGUGGGAGUUCUGGCAGCCAUUGGAAUUGGCCAGAACAUAACCCUCUGUUAUGUUCUGUGUGUGUCCCGUGGCUUAAACAACAGUCACCAGAAUCUCUUCAUUAAAGCCGAUUAGUCAGAGAUUACGUGAAGAGAUCUGAAUUUUCCAUUUGAUUUUAGAGCCAAAUAGCUUGUCUUUGCCUAUAGUGUUCUCCAGACACUAAUCAAGGGUAUAAACCCGGUGAGAGGGAGCUUUGAAGUCUUUCUGUUUGUGGGGUGCCAUUUAAAGGCAGAAGCAAAUGGUAACUGACUCAGAAUGAGGGACCACUCGACACGGAAGCCAAGAGGGAAAGGAUGGCGUGUUGUUCCAGCCGAGCACCCUAGAAGCCAGCAUGAGCUGAGGGGUGUGUGGUGGAUCUUGGCACAGUGAUCUGCAUGUUGGAAACUACUAAAAUAUUCAUGUACUUGACUGUGUCUCUUCCAUUUAGAUGUAAUAAAUGCAGAUUUGGAUGGCCA